AUGAACGCUAGCGACAGGCCUAACACAUGCAAGUCGAGGGGCAGCACAAGGAGCAAUCUGAGGUGGCGACCGGCGCACGGGUGAGUAACACGUAUGCAACCUGCCUGUAAGCGGGGAAUAACCCGUUGAAAGACGGACUAAUACCGCAUAGUACUAAAUUACUGCAUGGUAAUUUAUUUAAACAUUUAUGGCUUACAGAUGGGCAUGCGCAUGAUUAGCUAGUUGGAGAGGUAACGGCUCCCCAAGGCAACGAUCAUUAGGGGUUCUGAGAGGAAGGUCCCCCACACUGGUACUGAGACACGGACCAGACUCCUACGGGAGGCAGCAGUGAGGAAUAUUGGUCAAUGGACGAGAGUCUGAACCAGCCAAGUCGCGUGCAGGAAGAAUGUUCCCUAUGGAUUGUAAACUGCUUUUGCAGGGGAAUAAAGUGCAUCACGUGUGAUGUUUUGUAUGUACUCUGCGAAUAAGGAUCGGCUAACUCCGUGCCAGCAGCGGC
rnacentral:rRNA from 1 species